rnacentral:rRNA from 1 species
GUAGGGAAUCUUCCACAAUGGGCGAAAGCCUGAUGGAGCAACGCCGCGUGAGCGAAGAAGGUCUUCGGAUCGUAAAGCUCUGUUGUAAGGGAAGAACAAGUGCAGUAGUAACUGGCUGCACCUUGACGGUACCUUACUAGAAAGCCACGGCUAACUACGUGCCAGCAGCCGCGGUAAUACGUAGGUGGCAAGCGUUGUCCGGAAUUAUUGGGCGUAAAGCGCGCGCAGGCGGUCUCUUAAGUCUGAUGUGAAAGCCCCCGGCUUAACCGGGGAGGGUCAUUGGAAACUGGGAGACUUGAGUGCAGGAGAGGGAAGCGGAAUUCCAUGUGUAGCGGUGAAAUGCGUAGAGAUAUGGAGGAACACCAGUGGCGAAGGCGGCUUCCUGGCCUGUAACUGACGCUGAGGCGCGAAAGCGUGGGGAGCAAACAGGAUUAGAUACCCGAGUAGUCC